ACCCUGGUAGUCCACGCCGUAAACGAUGUCGACUUGGAGGUUGUGCCCUUGAGGCGUGGCUUCCGGAGCUAACGCGUUAAGUCGACCGCCUGGGGAGUACGGCCGCAAGGUUAAAACUCAAAUGAAUUGACGGGGGCCCGCACAAGCGGUGGAGCAUGUGGUUUAAUUCGAUGCAACGCGAAGAACCUUACCUGGUCUUGACAUCCACGGAAGUUUUCAGAGAUGAGAAUGUGCCUUCGGGAACCGUGAGACAGGUGCUGCAUGGCUGUCGUCAGCUCGUGUUGUGAAAUGUUGGGUUAAGUCCCGCAACGAGCGCAACCCUUAUCCUUUGUUGCCAGCGGUCCGGCCGGGAACUCAAAGGAGACUGCCAGUGAUAAACUGGAGGAAGGUGGGGAUGACGUCAAGUCAUCAUGGCCCUUACGACCAGGGCUACACACGUGCUACAAUGGCGCAUACAAAGAGAAGCGACCUCGCGAGAGCAAGCGGACCUCAUAAAGUGCGUCGUAGUCCGGAUUGGAGUCUGCAACUCGACUCCAUGAAGUCGGAAUCGCUAGUAAUCGUGGAUCAGAAUGCCACGGUGAAUACGUUCCCGGGCCUUGUACACACCGCCCGUCACACCAUGGGAGUGGGUUGCAAAAGAAGUAGGUAGCUUAACCUUCGGGAGGGCGCUUACCACUUUGUGAUUCAUGACUGGGGUGAAGUCGUAACAAGGUAACCGUAGGGGAACCUGCGGUUGGAUCACCUCCUUACCUUAAAGAAGC
rnacentral:rRNA from 1 species